UACGUAGGGUGCGAGCGUUGCCCGGAAUUAUUGGGCGUAAAGGGCUCGUAGGCGGUUUGUCGCGUCGGGCGUGAAAACCUACAGCUUAACUGUGGGCUUGCUUUCGAUACGGGCAGACUAGAGGUAUGCAGGGGAGAACGGAAUUCCUGGUGUAGCGGUGAAAUGCGCAGAUAUCAGGAGGAACACCGGUGGCGAAGGCGGUUCUCUGGGCAUGAUCUGACGCUGAGGAGCGAAAGUGUGGGGAGCGAACAGG
rnacentral:rRNA from 1 species